rnacentral:rRNA from 1 species
CGGGGGGUGCAAGCGUUGUUCGGAUUUAUUGGGCGUAAAGCGCGUGUAGGCGGUUUGUUAAGACUGAUGUGAAAGCCCUGGGCUCAACCCAGGAAGUGCAUUGGAUACUGGCAGACUUGAAUACGGGAGAGGGUAGUGGAAUUCCUGGUGUAGGAGUGAAAUCCGUAGAUAUCAGGAGGAACACCGGUGGCGAAGGCGGCUACCUGGACCGAUAUUGACGCUGAGACGCGAAAGCGUGGGUAGCAAACAGGAUUAGAUACCCUGGUAGUCCACGCCGUAAACGAUGAGUACUAGGUGUUGCGGGUAUUGACCCCUGCAGUGCCGCAGCUAACGCAUUAAGUACUCCGCCUGGGAAGUACGGUCGCAAGACUA